rnacentral:misc_RNA from 1 species
AAGUCGUAACAAGGUUUCCGUAGGUGAACCUGCGGAAGGAUCAUUCACUAAAAGUGUUCAAUGGCACUUAUAAAAAUCCAUUACCCACCUUGUGUGCAAUGUCAGGAGAAAAAAUUUCUUUUUUUUUUUUCUCCAUAACAUUUUACGCUUCUUUCAGUAUCAGUCUACAUCAAAUCGAGUAAAUAAACUCUAAUACAACUUUCAACAACGGAUCUCUUGGCUCUC